CCUACGGGUGGCUGCAGUGGGGAAUAUUGCACAAUGGGGGAAACCCUGAUGCAGCGACGCCGCGUGAGUGAAGAAGUAAUUCGUUACGUAAAGCUCUAUCAGCAGGGAAGAAAUACUGACCUUACGGUCAGCAGACGGUAUCUGAGUAAGAAGCCCCGGCUAACUACGGGCCAGCAGCCGCGGUAAUACGUAGGGGGCAAGCGUUAUCCGGAUUUACUGGGUGUAAAGGGAGCGUAAACGGUGCGCCAAGUCUGGAGUGAAAUGACGCAGCUUAACUGCGGAACUGCCUUGGAAACUGGAGAACUAGAGUACAGGAGAGGUAGGCGGAAUAAGUAAAGUAGCGGUGAAAUGCAUAGAUAUAAGGUGGAACACCGAUAGCGAAGGCGGCUUACUGGACCGUAACUGACGUUGAGGCUCGAGAGCAUGGGGAGCAAACAGGAUUAGAUACCCUUGUAGUC
rnacentral:rRNA from 1 species